rnacentral:rRNA from 1 species
UGGGUAACCUGCCUCAAAGAGGGGAAUAGCCUCCCGAAAGGGGAGAUUAAUACCGCAUAAUAUGUUUAAGUCGCAUGACUUUAACAUCAAAGGAUUUUCUUUUAGAAAUUCCACUUUGAGAUGGACCCGCGGCGCAUUAGCUAGUUGGUGAGGUAACGGCUCACCAAGGCAACGAUGCGUAGCCGACCUGAGAGGGUGAUCGGCCACAUUGGAACUGAGACACGGUCCAGCUCCGUAGGACGG